CCUACGGGAGACAGCAGUGAGGAAUAUUGGUCAAUGGGCGCGAGCCUGAACCAGCCAAGUAGCGUGAAGGAUGACUGCCAUACGGAUUGUAAACUUCUUUUGUCAAGGAAUAAAGUCAGGCACGUGUGCCUGUUUGAAUGUACUUUAUGAAUAAGGAUCGGCUAACUCCGUGCCAGCAGCCGCGGUAAUACGGAGGAUCCGAGCGUUAUCCGGAUUUAUUGGGUUUAAAGGGAGCGUAGGUGGGUUGUUAAGUCAGUUGUGAAAGUCUGCGGCUCAACCGUAAAAGUGCAAUUGAAACUGGCAGUCUUGAGUAGAGGAGAGGUAGGCGGAAUGCGUGGUGUAGCGGUGAAAUGCUUAGAUAUAGCGAAGAACUCCGAUUGCGAAGGCAGCAUAC
rnacentral:rRNA from 1 species